UACGAGGGAGGCAAGCGUUUGUCCGGAUUUAUUGGGCGUAAAGAGCGUGUAGGCGGCCAUACAGGUCCGUUGUGAAAACUGGAGGCUUAACCUCCAGACGUCGAUGGAAACCGUAUGGCUAGAGUCCGGAAGAGGAGAGUGGAAUUCCUGGUGUAGCGGUGAAAUGCGCAGAUAUCAGGAAGAACACCCGUGGCGAAGGCGGCUCUCUGGGACGGUACUGACGCUGAGACGCGAAAGCGUGGGGAGCGAACAGG
rnacentral:rRNA from 1 species